ACAUAUCCCCUGCGCACUGUCCGGAGCACUCCUUCCCUUCCCGGGUUCCUCAAGGCACGGCUCCCCCAGGCAGAUGAAAGCUUAAUGGAGUUUUGCGAUAUGAAAGUCAGUCGGAGGAAAGAGCCUUGAACAGUUCUGCAUGAGAGCGAGGCAAGCGCCCGAAAUUAUUUUACCACAAAGGCAGCGCUCUCUGCCACAAAGGCACGGAGGAGAAAGGAGCCCGGGAAACGGGUCAUUUCUUUCGUGGAAAAAUGGAAACUGUUCUGAAGCAUUUUGGGAGACGUGCUGUGAAGUAGGUGACACCGGAAGACGAGGACACUGGGGGCUCCCUGCCAGGAGGUGCAAAAAGCAACUCCCGUUCAAGGGUCAGAGGAGCCUGGAUGCUAAUGUCUCUCCAAGGUGACUUGGAGCCAACUGCCGGAAAGGCCACACCCUUAGGAACAUAGGUAGGUCCCAGCUCAGGUGAGCCUGAACCUUCUGCCCCAUCAGGAGGUUCCCGUGGGAGGAGCUCAGGUGGGGAGGAGUCGGAAGUCAGGGUUUCAUGCCUCCCUCAUUGGCUUUGGGGUUCCCUUUAAGGUGGACACCCGGUGUGGGCAGUGGGAGGCGGGGGUGAAGCAGAGGACAGCAAGCGUGGUGGUUCAGGCAAAGUAAACCUGGAGGGAGCAAAUGCCUUUGCCCUGGGUGUGAAAGGGUAAGGCCCCAUUGUAGGUCAUUUAUUCAUUCAACAAACAUGGGUUGAAGUGUGUCUUGGGCUGGCCUCAGAGAAGCUCAAGAAAAGAAAGAUGCUGUCAUUGCCCCGAGGAGCCACUGUCUGGCAUGCAGGCCAACUGUGACAAGCUGUGGUCCAGGGAUGUGCUGUGUGACCUUCUUCAAGUUCCCGACCCUCUCUGGGCUGCAGUCACCUUAUUCAGAAAAUGGAGAGGCUAGGCAAGAAAAUGAUGCUAAUCUCACCCUUUUCCGAGCUGGCAUUUUAUUGAGCACCUACUAGGCGCUGGGCAUUUUGCUAGGCCCUUCGUGCACACUGCCAUGAGAAAUCCACAGCAACCCCAGAGAUGGGUUCAUCAAUAACUCACCAGCAAAUACUUCCUGAGGCCCCACUGUGUGCCGAGCAUGGGCAUAGGUACUGGGCACACCUUGAUGAACAAGGGAGGUAAAGAUGUGACUCUCCUAGACCUUUCUGUCUAGAAGAGGAGAUGGAGAAUAAACAUGGAAACAAGCAAGAUCAUUCUGGAGAAAAUGCAAUCAGAUGAUGUGCUAGAUGGUAACAGAGAGAGGCCGCAUGAGAGAGAGGGCCGUGACAGCCUCUCUGAGAAGCUGAAAUCCAAGCAGAACCCGAAAGACGAGGAGAAACUCAGAUACAUAAAGACUGGGAAAAGCAUUCAAGUAGAGGGAACAGUGUGUGCAAAGGCCCUGAGGUGGGUGCAAUAGAUACCACAGGCCCCCUCACUCGAGACCACUCCAAGCACCUCCUGCCCUCUUGUGCCACAGAGCUCAGAAAGCUAAAGCAAUGUUCCCCAGAGGUCCUGUGGCCAAGGUCCUGCAUGGGCCUGGGUGACCCCUGCAGAAGCUUCUGAGGAAGACUGAGCAGGGAAAGAAAGGCCAUGUCAGAAAACCACCCUCCAGUGAGCAUGGAGGCAGAGAGUCUCAUCCUGGCAUCCCAGGUGCUGAGCAGAGCAGACAGCAGCAGAGGGGCUCCCUAGAGCAGCUGGGGGCCCUGCCUGUGCCGUCGCUCUUUCCCCUCCCUGCCCUCUGGUCUGACAUCCCAUUGGCAUCACACACAAUGCCUCCCCGAGGCGCUUUUGUGCACAGAGCAGGUCAAAGUGCCAGAGAAUUAGAUCCUGUCCUCUUGGGAACAGCCCUCAGCCAGCAGUGAGCCCUUAGGAAGAUGCUCCAAGUUCUGUCCUCCCCGGGUCCAGAGGCCCUGGGAUGGAGCGCCAUUGUGGAAGCAGUGACAGCUUGAUGAAGCUCCCUGGGCUGGCCCCUUCCUCCCUGCCUUGUUCCCCGUUCCCUGCAGUCCUGCAAUCACCUCCCAAAUAAACCAUGUGCCCUUGCUGG
rnacentral:lncRNA from 1 species